rnacentral:miRNA from 1 species
AGGGUCAGGUAAGGUGGGUUAAACACUAAUUGACCCCCACUAAUUGAGGGCCUACUGUGUGCCAGACACUGUGC